UGAGAGCGGCGGACGGGUGAGUAAUGCCUAGGAAUCUGCCUGGUAGUGGGGGAUAACGCUCGGAAACGGACGCUAAUACCGCAUACGUCCUACGGGAGAAAGCAGGGGACCUUCGGGCCUUGCGCUAUCAGAUGAGCCUAGGUCGGAUUAGCUAGUUGGUGAGGUAAUGGCUCACCAAGGCGACGAUCCGUAACUGGUCUGAGAGGAUGAUCAGUCACACUGGAACUGAGACACGGUCCAGACUCCUACGGGAGGCAGCAGUGGGGAAUAUUGGACAAUGGGCGAAAGCCUGAUCCAGCCAUGCCGCGUGUGUGAAGAAGGUCUUCGGAUUGUAAAGCACUUUAAGUUGGGAGGAAGGGCAUUAACCUAAUACGUUGGUGUCUUGACGUUACCGACAGAAUAAGCACCGGCUAACUCUGUGCCAGCAGCCGCGGUAAUACAGAGGGUGCAAGCGUUAAUCGGAAUUACUGGGCGUAAAGCGCGCGUAGGUGGUUUGUUAAGUUGGAUGUGA
rnacentral:rRNA from 1 species